UGAGUAACCUGCCCUUAACUCUGGGAUAAGCCUGGGAAACUGGGUCUAAUACCGGAUAUGACUCCUCAUCGCAUGGUGGGGGGUGGAAAGCUUUAUUGUGGUUUUGGAUGGACUCGCGGCCUAUCAGCUUGUUGGUGAGGUAAUGGCUCACCAAGGCAACGAUGCGUAGCCGACCUGAGAGGGUGAUCGGCCACACUGGGACUGAGACACGGCCCAGACUCCUACGGGAGCAG
rnacentral:rRNA from 1 species